GAGUUUGAUCAUGGCUCAGGAUGAACGCUGGCGGCGUGCCUAAUACAUGCAAGUCGAGCGAACAGACGAGGAGCUUACUCCUCUGACGUUAGCGGCGGACGGGUGAGUAACACGUGGAUAACCUACCUAUAAGACUGGGAUAACUUCGGGAAACCGGAGCUAAUACCGGAUAACAUGUUGAACCGCAUGGUUCAACAGUGAAAGACGGUCUUGCUGUCACUUAUAGAUGGAUCCGCGUCGCAUUAGCUAGUUGGUAAGGUAACGGCUUACCAAGGCAACGAUGCGUAGCCGACCUGAGAGGGUGAUCGGCCACACUGGAACUGAGACACGGUCCAGACUCCUACGGGAGGCAGCAGUAGGGAAUCUUCCGCAAUGGGCGAAAGCCUGACGGAGCAACGCCGCGUGAGUGAAGAAGGUCUUCGGAUCGUAAAACUCUGUUAUUAGGGAAGAACAAAUGUGUAAGUAACUAUGCACGUCUUGACGGUACCUAAUCAGAAAGCCACGGCUAACUACGUGCCAGCAGCCGCGGUAAUACGUAGGUGGCAAGCGUUAUCCGGAAUUAUUGGGCGUAAAGCGCGCGUAGGCGGUUUUUUAAGUCUGAUGUGAAAGCCCACGGCUCAACCGUGGAGGGUCAUUGGAAACUGGAAAACUUGAGUGCAGAGAGGAAAGUGGAAUUCCAUGUGUAGCGGUGAAAUGCGUAGAGAUAUGGAGGACACCAGUGGGCGAAGCGACUUUCUGGUCUGUAACUGACGCUGAUGUGCGAAAGCGUGGGGAUCAAACAGGAUUAGAUACCCUGGUAGUCCACGCCGUAAACGAUGAGUGCUAAGUGUUAGGGGGUUUCCGCCCCUUAGUGCUGCAGCUAACGCAUUAAGCACUCCGCCUGGGGAGUACGACCGCAAGGUUGAAACUCAAAGGAAUUGACGGGGACCCGCACAAGCGGUGGAGCAUGUGGUUUGAUUCGAAGCAACGCGAAGAACCUUACCAAAUCUUGACAUCCUCUGACCCCUCUAGAGAUAGAGUUUUCCCCUUCGGGGGACAGAGUGACAGGUGGUGCAUGGUUGUCGUCAGCUCGUGUCGUGAGAUGUUGGGUUAAGUCCCGCAACGAGCGCAACCCUUAAGCUUAGUUGCCAUCAUUAAGUUGGGCACUCUAAGUUGACUGCCGGUGACAAACCGGAGGAAGGUGGGGAUGACGUCAAAUCAUCAUGCCCCUUAUGAUUUGGGCUACACACGUGCUACAAUGGACAAUACAAAGGGUAGCGAAACCGCGAGGUCAAGCAAAUCCCAUAAAGUUGUUCUCAGUUCGGAUUGUAGUCUGCAACUCGACUACAUGAAGCUGGAAUCGCUAGUAAUCGUAGAUCAGCAUGCUACGGUGAAUACGUUCCCGGGUCUUGUACACACCGCCCAUCACACCACGAGAGUUUGUAACACCCGAAGCCGGUGGAGUAACCUUUUGGAGCUAGCCGUCGAAGGUGGGAC
rnacentral:rRNA from 1 species